CUGGAGAGUGGCGCACGGGUGAGUAACGCGUGGGGACCUACCUCUUAGUGGGGGAUAACGGUUGGAAACGACCGCUAAUACCGCAUACGCCCUUCGGGGGAAAGAUUUAUCGCUAAGAGAUGGACCCGCGUUGGAUUAGAUAGUUGGUGAGGUAACGGCUCACCAAGUCAGCGAUCCAUAGCUGGUUUGAGAGGAUGAUCAGCCACACUGGGACUGAGACACGGCCCAGACUCCUACGGGAGGCAGCAGUGGGGAAUAUUGGACAAUGGGGGCAACCCUGAUCCAGCCAUGCCGCGUGAGUGAAGAAGGCCUUCGGGUUGUAAAGCUCUUUCAGAUGCGAAGAUGAUGACGGUAACAUCAGAAGAAGCCCCGGCUAAUUUCGUGCCAGCAGCCGCGGUAAUAC
rnacentral:rRNA from 1 species